AACGCGAAGAACCUUACCCAGGCUUGACAUCCUGCGAAUCCUGGCGAAAGUCGGGAGUGCCUUUUAGGAACGCAGUGACAGGUGUUGCAUGGCCGUCGUCAGCUCGUGUCGUGAGAUGUUUGGUUAAGUCCAUUAACGAGCGCAACCCUUAUCGUCUGUUACAAUUUCAGGCGAGACUGCCCCGGCCAACGGGGAGGAAGGUGGGGAUGAGGUCAGGUCAGCAUGGCCCUUACGCCUGGGGCUACACACGUCAUACAAUGGCCGGUACAACGCGAUGCCAACCCGCGAGGGGGAGCUAAUCGUAUCAAAACCGGUCCCAGUUCGGAUUGAAGGCUGAAACUCGCCUCCAUGAAGUCGGAAUCGCUAGUAAACGUGGGUCAGCAUACCACGUUGAAUACGUUCCCGGGCCUUGUA
rnacentral:rRNA from 1 species